rnacentral:lncRNA from 14 species
GUAGUGCCUUAAUGCUGAUGAGUAGCCAAUUGCACUCAACUGCCUCCACCUGCCUUCUGCUGCUGGGUUUAUCCACAGCUGCCUCUGGUUCCCAUCUGUGCCUGUGGGCUCCCUCCUCCUGGUGCAGACCCUGGCUUCUUCCUGCUCCCCAGCUCUUCCGUGGAGCAACUGCCAUAAGGACAGACCCCUCCAGCCUGGUGCUGGCCCUGCUGGAGCCACGGAGAGCUCAGACCGCAGACGCUGUGCAGCCAGGCACUUCUGCCUUCCCUUCACCACACUGAUUUCCCCCCCGGGGCCGGAGGAGCAGCACACAUGCCUUGCCGCAGAGACCGACAGUACCACCGAAGUCCACUAGAUGGCACCCUUUGGCUACAGUCAACGCUCAGCAGGCAAACCUAUCCGGGGGUAGAAGCGCUGCUUACUGCAAGGUGUUUGCAAAAUGACCUAAGGACAUGGAACUGUUGGAAUAAGUCCAGAGGAGGCCACGAGGAUGAUCAGAGGCUGGAGUACCUUCUGUAUGAAGACAGGCUGAGAAAGUUGGGGCUGUUCAGCCUGGAGAACAGAAGGCUGCGUGGAGACCCCAGAGCAACCUUCCAGUAUCUGAAGGUGGGCUAUAGGGAUGUUCGGGAGGGACUAUUCAUUAGGGACUGUAAUGAUAGGACAAGGGGUAACGGGUUCAAACUUAAACAGAGGACGUUUAGAUUGGA